rnacentral:rRNA from 1 species
CGCUGGCGGCGUGCCUAACACAUGCAAGUCGAGCGGGGUCCAUCCGGUAGCAAUACCGGGGAAGACCUAGCGGCGAACGGGUGAGUAACACGUGAGAAACCUGCCCCGAAGUCUGGGGUAACCCGAGGAAACUCGAGCUAAUACCGGAUGUCUUCUUCUGAUCGCAUGGUCGGAUGAAGAAAGAUUUAUCGCUUCGGGAGGGUCUCGCGGCCUAUCAGCUAGUUGGCGGGGUAACGGCCCACCAAGGCGUCGGCGGGUAGCUGGUCUGAGAGGACGAUCAGCCACACUGGGACUGAGACACGGCCCAGACUCCUACGGGAGGCAGCAGUGGGGAAUAUUGCGCAAUGGGCGAAAGCCUGACGCAGCAACGCCGCGUGCGGGAUGAAGGCCUUCGGGUUGUAAACCGCUUUCAGUGGGGACGAAUUCAGACGGUACCCACAGAAGAAGCCCCGGCCAACUACGUG